rnacentral:lncRNA from 1 species
CUCACACAGGUUAUUCAGACAGGCAGAAAUUGUUGAGAGUCAGUUCUGAAUUUAGGACUAAACCCAUGUUACUGGCUUUCAAGACCUGAGUUCAAGGCUGGGCUCCGACCUUGUGUUUUCAUAGCACAUCCCAGGUACCUGCAGACUUUCUUGGUUUGAUUGCCAAAAAACUGGAAACACCUGGAAAAUUCUCAGAAAUCUGCUGUUUUCAAACCGAAGUCUCUUGUUCCAAUUUCAG